UUUAUUUGUUAAAAGCUCAAAUGAACUUAUUAUGACAGUACUCUCAUGAGCAGAAACUUUUAGGGCGACCACAUGAAUCUCGUUGGCGUUGGGGUCGCUAAGUGAAGAUAUUCACGGGAGUGAGAGGAAAAUAAUAUUUUCAUUUACGUAAGAAGCUAGCAGAUUAGUGGAGAAAGUUAAUUCACGAGACAAAAGGGCAACACAAAGUUAAGUUUUUGUUUGUGUUCUUUAUAUGGGAAAGGGAAGUAGGAAGAUGAAAGCGAUAACUGCGUCAACUACUUAGCUUUUCAUUGUCUCAUUUACAGUAUUUUUUUGUAUUGCGUUUGUACACACACGUACACAAGUCUGCUUUGCGCAUGAACAGUUUAUUCCUAUGUCUGAAAACCCUCAAAUUCCAUUAGAGGUGAACUCUCUCGAAUUCGGUAUCGGUGAAUACAUGUGUGUGGUGAAAAAAGGCAAAAUAAGGGAUUGGGCUACAAAAACAACUUGUGGAAUUUUUGUGACCCGUCAAAAAUGACAAUUCUACAAUUUCAAUUUUGCAAAACAAAACAAUGCCUGCGUUCAAUCUCACACAGGUAGAGUAUCCGCAUACCUUUUUACUAGUGUUUUACGUGUAAAAUAACAGCUGAUCAAAAACAGCUUAGAUGUCAAAAAAGGAAUCUGACAGAACAGCUGAUUCAACACAUGGUUGAAUAUCAUUUGAAAAUUGAUUUCAGCUUUUUGUAGUUGUUGGUAAACAAAAAGAUACAAAAUGUUAGUUGAAGUUGUAUUUGAGGAUGUACAAAAUAGACGAUGAAGAAGCAAUUUGCCUCCGAAUUUUAGAAGGUAAAUAUGAUUUAUUUGUUUGAUCUUCAAAAUUGACUUAUUUUGUUCUCGUUUUUUAGAGGACCAAUAUAUUGUUGUAAUGUUGAACAGUUGGCCAUUUAAUAUACUCUCCGAGCAAUGAACAUACCCCUUGGGGAAUUUCGCUGAAUGUCUCCAGCUGAUUAAAAACUUUCUUGCUUACUCAAGAUCCAAACAAAAAGCAACAGUUUUUUUCUCCAAGUUAAAAGUUCUUUUAUUUUGCUGCACUUUGUGCAAGAGAUCCUAAUACUUUGAAAUCGUUAAUAAGCAACUCACUAUAUAGAUAUCAAGACUAGUUUGUUUACAUUUUAUUUGCUAUUCUAGUCCCACCAUUAAGCUAAAACUUUAUCUACUGUGAACAAACCAACUCAAAAUCUUACCGCAAAGCAACUUCUGCUCAUUCGGAAAUGAGAUCAAAAUUCUUCCAAACUAUAUCUAGGUAUUGUUAUAGGAUAGUUUUCUGUUAAACGUUAAUCGUUUAAAAUCGGAGAUUUCGCAAGUAUAUUAUUAAUCGUAUAAAAUUCUAACGAAUCAGUUAAAUUUUCCAUUAAAUGUUUUAUCUUACAACAAUUUUGACUUCGAAGCUUAAAUGUUUCUCUGCUUUUUGUGAACAGCUGAAACCAAAAUAACAGAGAGCUUCAUACCUGCAUUAGAGCCACACUAAAACAUCAAUAUCACACCGAGGCUCCAAUAGGAAAAAGUUAGUGCAGCCAGUCAAUUAUACGCCCGAUGAUGGACGAUAAGGUUCCGAAACGCGUCGCGUUAUAAAUAUAAUAUUUACAAAAAGUUGUGAAAUUUAUUGUUUUAAAAUAAAACAAAAUAAUAAUAAUAAAAAUUAAUUUUCGUUUUAUUUUUCAUUUUCUAAAUUAGCUGAAAGUUGUUUUUAUUUUUUGACAGCUAUCUCAAUACAGCUAUCCAACUCGUUCAACAAGGUAUCUAAAAACCCACCUAUCCAAGAUAUCAUAUCCAACACGAGAUUGAACGCAGCCAAUGUGUUUGGGAUUUUAAAAAGCAAAAACCUUUAUUAUGAAGAGACUACAAGUUCACUUCAAUAAGACAAAACCAUCAACAAAAACACCAUCAAGUCAAUGAUGUAAGUGGAACUUUUGCAAUUCAAAAGUACACCGCUAACUACAUUCGCUCAACAAGAAAUAUAAUGCAAGGCGCUAAAAAAAAAACGACGCAACAGGGCACCGAGAUCAGUUAUAUGUAAAUACAAGCUUUUAGCACCAAACGUCUCACUAUCUCGCUGCCACUGAAGGACGACAGGUAUACUUAGCUGGAUGACAUAGAUGAGGUAGCUGCAUUUUGCACAGAACUAUAACUGGAAUCACACAGGAGAACGUCGACACAGAAAUGUCCCCACAAAUUACCUAACAAUGUUACAAGAGUGGCUGCGUAUAGAGUUGUAAGCCUGCGACCUUUACCUGCCAAAAAUGAAAAAUAAUAAUAAAUAAUUGUGCAUUUGUGACAUGGUCCAAUUGGGAUUUCAAAUUUACCGCGAAAAGAAUGUCAACGAAAACAACUUAAUAAGCCAAUCUAUAGAUCGACUUACGAGCUCUAUUCCGUUAAUUUUGCAAUUAUAAUCUGUAUAUAUUAAACAUAGUCGUGUUAGUUACCCUUUUUAUAACUCUAGAAAGGAAAUUAAGCAAUUUGCAAUUUACAAGUU